AAAACCUACUUUUUCGAACUCGUCCUAGACGGUUAGUCCGAUUUCCACGAAAAUUGGCUCAGAUCAUCUUCAGACCAUGCUGGCAAAAAGUUAUGGAAUUCAAGUUGAUUCGUCCAACUGUUGUCGAAUGACACGUAAACAAAUUUGACGAAAAGCACGCAAACAUGCACGUGAGGCUAUAUCCCGGCAACGGUUUGUCAUAUUGAGACCAAACUUGGCGUGUGUUAUAACAAGCAUGAACUGAGACUACCUGCUGUGUUUCGACACAGCGCCACCUAGUGGUCAGGAGAUAUGAAAAAUGCAUAUUUUGGCUUAUAACUACUGAAUGGUUUGGCCAAAAAUCACACAACUGGUCUCUUUAGAUUCAGUGAGUCAUGUCGAGUCGAAUGAUAUCCAAUUUUCCUGUGUCGGCCAUUUUAGGCGUCGGCCAUUUUGAAUUAUGUUUCAAAAUGCUGUAUUUUUUGAACGCAGCAUCGUAUCGUUUCGCAAAUAAUUACAAAAAUAUUCGGCUCCAUGCCCUGAAGGUACUCAAAAAGUUUGGUGGCAGCGCCACCUUGUGGCCAAUAGUUAUAAUGAAAUAUCACAUAAACGCUAAUAACUUUUGAAUAAAUUAGUCUAUUAAAAUUAAAAUGGUCUCGCUAUAUUCUGUGGGUCAUGCCGAGAGUAUUGAUACCAAUAAUGUGAAAAUUGGCCUUACUUCCUGUCCGCCAUUUUGCUUAAUGUUGAAAACCUACUUUUUCGAACUCCUCCUAGACCGUUAGCCCAAUUUUCACCAAAUUUGACGUGAAUCAUCUUCAGACCAUGCUGGCAAAUAGUUAUGGAUUUUGUGUCGAUAUACGUAACGGUUCUCAUUUAGCGCAUCAACGAAUUUGCUGGAAGGGUGCCAAAAUGCAUUUGAGGCUGUAUCUCUGCAACACUUUGACAUAUUUGCACCAAACUUUGUAUGUGUCAUCGCCACCUCACACUGACCAUGCCACAUAAAUUUGGUAACAGCGCCACCUAUUGGUCAAGAGUAACAAACCAUUCAUUAACCAUGAGUAAUUACACUUUUUAAAAUGCUAAUAACUUUUUAGUCCAUUAGCCUAUUGCAAAGAAACUGGGCUCAAAAUAUUCCCUGGCUUAUGCUGAUAACAUAGAUACCAAAUAUGCCAGUGUUUACUGAAGUUCCGGUCCACCAUUUUGAUUUAUGUGGAAAACCUACUUUUUCGAACUCCUCAUGAACCGUAUGUCCAAUUUUCACCAAAUUCGAAUCAGAUGAUCUUCAGACUAUGUUGACACAAAGUUAUGGAUUUUGAGUCGAUAGACAAAACCGUUUUCGCAUACCACAUCGACGAAUUUGAGGCACAAUGAGAAAAUUACACUUGAGGCUGUAUCCCUGGAAUGCUUUGGCAUAUUGACACCAAACUUUGUGUGUGUCAUUGAAAAGUCACACAGAGUACACCAAAUUGAUUUUAUAACAGUGUCACCUAUUGGUCAAGCUUGAUAAACCAAGUAAUCAUGCUACUAGAGGUGGUAUUGGUGUUUUUUUUUUUGCCAUUUCAAAUACAAUAAUUCCAAAAUUGCUGUUAUUGCUCAUUAAUGUAUUUGGUGUGAUGCUUUAUGCGAUGCUUAGCUACUACAUUUGCCGUUGGAGUGCUUGGCCCCGUAAUUGCUGCUUGCAGCUAUAUUUAGGGGCCAAGCACCGAAGGUGCGUAGGCACCUAUUGUUUUCGUUGGCGUUAUUAUUAUUCUUCUUCUUCUUCUUCCGCCGCAAGUCUAUGGCAGCCCAUAGAACCGUUUGCGGGAAAGUUGUAUAAUUUGGCACACUGAUAGAGGACAGUCCCAACAUUAACUAUAGCAAAUUUGAAGCCUCUAACUCCUACUCUCUAGCGCCACCACUUGUCCAAACUUUCAAUGUUUGUAUGCUAAUAACUUUUGAACCGUAAGCCAGAAAAUGGAAAUUCUUUUUUCCUCUGAAUCCUUGGCUCAGGCCAAGUCGAAUGAACCCUACAAUUCAAAAAUCGCAAGGUUUAGUUUUUUCGCUAUUUUCAAUUAUUCGAAAAACCUACUUUUUCGAACUCGUCCUAGACGGUUAGUCCGAUUGCCACGAAAAUUGGCUCAGAUCAUCUUCAGACCAUGCUGGCAAAAAGUUAUGGAAUUCAAGUUGAUUCGUCCAACUGUUGUCGAAUGACACGUAAACAAAUUUGACGAAAAGCACGCAAACAUGCACGUGAGGCUAUAUCCCGGCAACGGUUUGUCAUAUUGAGACCAAACUUGGCGUGUGUUAUAACAAGCAUGAACUGAGACUACCUGCAGUGUUUCGACACAGCGCCACCUAGUGGUCAGGAGAUAUGAAAAAUGCAUAUUUUGGCUUAUAACUACUGAAUGGUUUGGCCAAAAAUCACACAACUGGUCUCUUUAGAUUCAGUGAGUCAUGUCGAGUCAAAUGAUAUCCAAUUUUCCUGUGUCGGCCAUUUUAGGCGUCGGCCAUUUUGAAUUAUGAUUUAAAAUGCUGUAUUUUUUGAACGCAGCAUCGUAUCGUUUCGCAAAUAAUUACAAAAAUAUUCGGCUCCAUGCCCUGAAGGUACUCAAAAAGUUUGGUGGCAGCGCCACCCUGUGGCCAAUAGUUAUAAUGAAAUAUCACAUAAAUGCUAAUAACUUUUGAAUAAAUUAGUCUAUUAAAAUUAAAAUGGUCUCGCUAUAUUCUGUGGGUCAUGCCGAGAGUAUUGAUACCAAUAAUGUGAAAAUUGGCCUUACUUCCUGUCCGCCAUUUUGCUUAAUGUUGAAAACCUACUUUUUCGAACUCCUCCUAGACCGUUAGCCCAAUUUUCACCAAAUUUGACGUGCAUCAUCUUCAGACCAUGCUGGCAAAAAGUUAUGGAUUUUGUGUCGAUAUACGUAACGGUUCUCAUUUAGCGCAUCAACGAAUUUGCUGGAAGGGUGCCAAAAUGCAUUUGAGGCUGUAUCUCUGCAACACUUUGACAUAUUUGCACCAAACUUUGUAUGUGUCAUCGCCACCUCACACUGACCAUGCCACAUAAAUUUGGUAACAGCGCCACCUAUUGGUCAAGAGUAAUAAACCAUUCAUUAACCAUGAGUAAUUACACUUUUUAAAAUGCUAAUAACUUUUUAAUGCAUUAGCCUAUUUGAAGGAAACUGGGCUCAAAAUAUUCCCUGGCUUAUGCCGAUAACAUAGAUACCAAAUAUACCACGGUAAGCUGAACUUCCGGUCCGCCAUUUUGAUUUAUGUUGAAAACAUACUUUUUCGAACUCCUGAUCAACCGUAUGUCCGAUUUUCACCAAAUUCGAAUCAAAUGAUCUUCAGGCUAUACUGAUUCAAAGUUAUGGAUUUUGAGUCGAUAGACAAAACCGUUUUCGCAUACCACAUCGACGAAUUUGAGGCACAAUGAGAAAAUGACACUUGAGGCUGUAUCCCUGGAAUGCUUUGGCAUAUUGACACCAAACUUUGUGUGUGUCAUUGAAAAGACACACAGAGUACACCAAAUUGAUUUUAUAACAGUGUCACCUAUUGGUCAAGCUUGAUAAACCAAGUAAUCAUGCUACUAGAGGUGGUAUUGGUGUUUUUUUUUUUUUGCCAUUUCAAAUACAAUAAUUCCAAAAUUGCUGUUAUUGCUCAUUAAUGUAUUUGGUGUGAUGCUUUAUGCGAUGCUUAGCUACUACAUUUGCCGUUGGAGUGCUUGGCCCCGUAAUUGCUGCUUGCAGCUAUAUUUAGGGGCCAAGCACCGAAGGUGCGUAGGCACCUAUUGUUUUCGUUGGCGUUAUUAGGGGCCAAGCACCGAAGGUGCGUAGGCACCUAUUGUUUUCGUUGGCGUUAUUAUUAUUAUUAUUCUUCUUCUUCUUCUUCCGCCGCAAGUCUAUGGCAGCCCAUAGAACCGUUUGCGGGAAAGUUGUAUAAUUUGGCACACUGAUAGAGGACAGUCCCAACAUUAACUAUAGCAAAAUUGAAGCCUCUAACUCCUACUCUCUAGCGCCACCACUUGUCCAAACUUUCAAUGUUUGUAUGCUAAUAACUUUUGAACCGUAAGCCAGAAAAUGGAAAUUCUUUUUUCCUCUGAAUCCUUGGCUCAGGCCAAGUCGAAUGAACCCUAAAAUUCAAAAAUCGCAAGGUUUAGUUUUUUCGCUAUUUUCAAUUAUUCGAAAAACCUACUUUUUCGAACUCGUCCUAGACGGUUAGUCCGAUUUCCACGAAAAUUGGCUCAGAUCAUCUUCAGACCAUGCUGGCAAAAAGUUAUGGAAUUCAAGUUGAUUCGUCCAACUGUUGUCGAAUGACACGUAAACAUAUUUGACGAAAAGCACGCAAACAUGCACGUGAGGCUAUAUCCCGGCAACGGUUUGUCAUAUUGAGACCAAACUUGGCGUGUGUUAUAACAAGCAUGAACUGAGACUACCUGCUGUGUUUCGACACAGCGCCACCUAGUGGUCAGGAGAUAUGAAAAAUGCAUAUUUUGGCUUAUAACUACUGAAUGGUUUGGCCAAAAAUCACACAACUGGUCUCUUUAGAUUCAGUGAGUCAUGUCGAGUCGAAUGAUAUCCAAUUUUCCUGUGUCGGCCAUUUUAGGCGUCGGCCAUUUUGAAUUAUGUUUCAAAAUGCUGUAUUUUUUGAACGCAGCAUCGUAUCGUUUCGCAAAUAAUUACAAAAAUAUUCGGCUCCAUGCCCUGAAGGUACUCAAAAAGUUUGGUGGCAGCGCCACCUUGUGGCCAAUAGUUAUAAUGAAAUAUCACAUAAACGCUAAUAACUUUUGAAUAAAUUAGUCUAUUAAAAUUAAAAUGGUCUCGCUAUAUUCUGUGGGUCAUGCCGAGAGUAUUGAUACCAAUAAUGUGAAAAUUGGCCUUACUUCCUGUCCGCCAUUUUGCUUAAUGUUGAAAACCUACUUUUUCGAACUCCUCCUAGACCGUUAGCCCAAUUUUCACCAAAUUUGACGUGAAUCAUCUUCAGACCAUGCUGGCAAAUAGUUAUGGAUUUUGUGUCGAUAUACGUAACGGUUCUCAUUUAGCGCAUCAACGAAUUUGCUGGAAGGGUGCCAAAAUGCAUUUGAGGCUGUAUCUCUGCAACACUUUGACAUAUUUGCACCAAACUUUGUAUGUGUCAUCGCCACCUCACACUGACCAUGCCACAUAAAUUUGGUAACAGCGCCACCUAUUGGUCAAGAGUAACAAACCAUUCAUUAACCAUGAGUAAUUACACUUUUUAAAAUGCUAAUAACUUUUUAGUCCAUUAGCCUAUUGCAAAGAAACUGGGCUCAAAAUAUUCCCUGGCUUAUGCUGAUAACAUAGAUACCAAAUAUGCCAGUGUUUACUGAAGUUCCGGUCCACCAUUUUGAUUUAUGUGGAAAACCUACUUUUUCGAACUCCUCAUGAACCGUAUGUCCAAUUUUCACCAAAUUCGAAUCAGAUGAUCUUCAGACUAUGUUGACACAAAGUUAUGGAUUUUGAGUCGAUAGACAAAACCGUUUUCGCAUACCACAUCGACGAAUUUGAGGCACAAUGAGAAAAUUACACUUGAGGCUGUAUCCCUGGAAUGCUUUGGCAUAUUGACACCAAACUUUGUGUGUGUCAUUGAAAAGUCACACAGAGUACACCAAAUUGAUUUUAUAACAGUGUCACCUAUUGGUCAAGCUUGAUAAACCAAGUAAUCAUGCUACUAGAGGUGGUAUUGGUGUUUUUUUUUUUGCCAUUUCAAAUACAAUAAUUCCAAAAUUGCUGUUAUUGCUCAUUAAUGUAUUUGGUGUGAUGCUUUAUGCGAUGCUUAGCUACUACAUUUGCCGUUGGAGUGCUUGGCCCCGUAAUUGCUGCUUGCAGCUAUAUUUAUUAUUAUUCUUCUUCUUCUUCUUCUUCCGCCGCAAGUCUAUGG